UUAAGCGACUAAGCGUACACGGUGGAUGCCCUGGCAGUCAGAGGCGAUGAAGGACGUGCUAAUCUGCGAAAAGCGUCGGUAAGGUGAUAUGAACCGUUAUAACCGGCGAUGUCCGAAUGGGGAAACCCAGUGCAAUUCGUUGCACUAUCGUUAACUGAAUACAUAGGUUAACGAGGCGAACCGGGGGAACUGAAACAUCUAAGUACCCCGAGGAAAAGAAAUCAACCGAGAUUCCCCCAGUAGCGGCGAGCGAACGGGGAGCAGCCCAGAGUCUGAAUCAGCUUGUGUGUUAGUGGAACGGUCUGGAAAGUCCGACGGUACAGGGUGAUAGUCCCGUACACCAAAAUGCACAGGCUGUGAACUCGAAGAGUAGGGCGGGACACGUGGUAUCCUGUCUGAAUAUGGGGGGACCAUCCUCCAAGGCUAAAUACUCCUGACUGACCGAUAGUGAACCAGUACCGUGAGGGAAAGGCGAAAAGAACCCCGGCGAGGGGAGUGAAAAAGAACCUGAAACCGUGUACGUACAAGCAGUGGGAGCACCUUCGGGUGUGACUGCGUACCUUUUGUAUAAUGGGUCAGCGACUUAUAUUCUGUAGCAAGGUUAACCGUAUAGGGGAGCCGCAGGGAAACCGAGUCUUAACUGGGCGUUAAGUUGCAGGGUAUAGACCCGAAACCCGGUGAUCUAGCCAUGGGCAGGUUGAAGGUUGGGUAACACUAACUGGAGGACCGAACCGACUAAUGUUGAAAAAUUAGCGGAUGACUUGUGGCUGGGGGUGAAAGGCCAAUCAAACCGGGAGAUAGCUGGUUCUCCCCGAAAGCUAUUUAGGUAGCGCCUCGUGAAUUCAUCUUCGGGGGUAGAGCACUGUUUCGGCUAGGGGGUCAUCCCGACUUACCAACCCGAUGCAAACUACGAAUACCGAAGAAUGUUAUCACGGGAGACACACGGCGGGUGCUAACGUCCGUCGUGAAGAGGGAAACAACCCAGACCGCCAGCUAAGGUCCCAAAGUCAUGGUUAAGUGGGAAACGAUGUGGGAAGGCACAGACAGCCAGGAUGUUGGCUUAGAAGCAGCCAUCAUUUAAAGAAAGCGUAAUAGCUCACUGGUCGAGUCGGCCUGCGCGGAAGAUGUAACGGGGCUAAACCAUGCACCGAAGCUGCGGCAGCGACACUAUGUGUUGUUGGGUAGGGGAGCGUUCUGUAAGCCUGCGAAGGUGUGCUGUGAGGCAUGCUGGAGGUAUCAGAAGUGCGAAUGCUGACAUAAGUAACGAUAAAGCGGGUGAAAAGCCCGCUCGCCGGAAGACCAAGGGUUCCUGUCCAACGUUAAUCGGGGCAGGGUGAGUCGACCCCUAAGGCGAGGCCGAAAGGCGUAGUCGAUGGGAAACAGGUUAAUAUUCCUGUACUUGGUGUUACUGCGAAGGGGGGACGGAGAAGGCUAUGUUAGCCGGGCGACGGUUGUCCCGGUUUAAGCAUGUAGGCUGAUUGUCCAGGCAAAUCCGGAUAAUCAAGGCUGAGGUGUGAUGACGAGGCACUACGGUGCUGAAGUAACAAAUGCCCUGCUUCCAGGAAAAGCCUCUAAGCAUCAGGUAACAUCAAAUCGUACCCCAAACCGACACAGGUGGUCAGGUAGAGAAUACCAAGGCGCUUGAGAGAACUCGGGUGAAGGAACUAGGCAAAAUGGUGCCGUAACUUCGGGAGAAGGCACGCUGGUGUGUAGGUGAAGCCCCUGCGGGUGGAGCUGAGACCAGUCGAAGAUACCAGCUGGCUGCAACUGUUUAUUAAAAACACAGCACUGUGCAAACACGAAAGUGGACGUAUACGGUGUGACGCCUGCCCGGUGCCGGAAGGUUAAUUGAUGGGGUUAUCCGUAAGGAGAAGCUCUUGAUCGAAGCCCCGGUAAACGGCGGCCGUAACUAUAACGGUCCUAAGGUAGCGAAAUUCCUUGUCGGGUAAGUUCCGACCUGCACGAAUGGCGUAAUGAUGGCCAGGCUGUCUCCACCCGAGACUCAGUGAAAUUGAACUCGCUGUGAAGAUGCAGUGUACCCGCGGCAAGACGGAAAGACCCCGUGAACCUUUACUAUAGCUUGACACUGAACAUUGAGCCUUGAUGUGUAGGAUAGGUGGGAGGCUUUGAAGCGUGGACGCCAGUCUGCGUGGAGCCAACCUUGAAAUACCACCCUUUAAUGUUUGAUGUUCUAACGUUGGCCCCUGACCGGGGUUGCGGACAGUGUCUGGUGGGUAGUUUGACUGGGGCGGUCUCCUCCCAAAGCGUAACGGAGGAGCACGAAGGUUAGCUAAUCCUGGUCGGACAUCAGGAGGUUAGUGCAAUGGCAUAAGCUAGCUUGACUGCGAGCGUGACGGCGCGAGCAGGUGCGAAAGCAGGUCAUAGUGAUCCGGUGGUUCUGAAUGGAAGGGCCAUCGCUCAACGGAUAAAAGGUACUCCGGGGAUAACAGGCUGAUACCGCCCAAGAGUUCAUAUCGACGGCGGUGUUUGGCACCUCGAUGUCGGCUCAUCACAUCCUGGGGCUGAAGUAGGUCCCAAGGGUAUGGCUGUUCGCCAUUUAAAGUGGUACGCGAGCUGGGUUUAGAACGUCGUGAGACAGUUCGGUCCCUAUCUGCCGUGGGCGCUGGAGAAUUGAGGGGGGCUGCUCCUAGUACGAGAGGACCGGAGUGGACGCAUCACUGGUGUUCGGGUUGUCAUGCCAAUGGCACUGCCCGGUAGCUAAAUGCGGAAGAGAUAAGUGCUGAAAGCAUCUAAGCACGAAACUUGCCCCGAGAUGAGUUCUCCCUGAGACUUUAAGUCUCCUGAAGGAACGUUGAAGACGACGACGUUGAUAGGCCGGGUGUGUAAGCGCAGCGAUGCGUUGAGCUAACCGGUACUAAUGAACCGUGAGGCUUAACCUU
rnacentral:rRNA from 1 species